rnacentral:rRNA from 1 species
CAACGAGCGCAACCCUCGCCUUUAGUUGCCAGCAUUCAGUUGGGGCACUCUAGAGGGACUGCCGGGUGUCAAACCGGAGGAAGGUGGGAUGACGUCAAGUCCUCAUGGCCUUUAUGUCUAGGGCUACACACGUACUACAAUGGCCGGUACAAAGGGCAGCCACUCAGCGAUGAGGCGCUAAUCCCAUAAAGCCGGUCUCAGUCCGGAUCGCAGUCUGCAACUCGACUGCGUGAAGUUGGAAUCGCUAGUAAUCGUAGAUCAGCAUGCUACGGUGAAUACGUUCCCGGGCCUU